GGGACCAGGUGGGACAGGUGUGUUUCAGAGAGAACAGCGCCCUGACUCCGCACGCCGGCUCUUAGACUCCCGGUUGUUGACCAUUUUGCAAAAUUGUGUUUUCUCUUCCCACCAUCAUGCUUUCUGAGACAGCCCGCCCACUCAGUGCACCAAGCACACAGAAGGUGUGAUGUUAUUGCAUCUCUGAAUACUUCCCUACCAGACAAGGACUCUUUCCUACUCUCUUUAAUUGAAUUGGUCGCCACCAUUUGCAGACCCCAAGUGCCCCCAGCCCUGGUUGCUGCUUUGGGCUGAAUGUGGGGACGGGAGCUUCCCCUGGAGGUAGGGCCCAUGUUCUUCCACCCGUGUGCUCUCUGCCUGGCCCAUGGACAGGCGAUUUGACCACCUCUGGUGUGAUUGGAAAUGAUGAGCUUUGUGACUUUCCCAGGGUCUUGAUGCUUGUGACUCUCAGUGGCCUUGCCUUUAAAAUGGCUCUAGGAGACCCUCUAGGGAGAGCUGUUGGGAGCAUCAUGUGUGUCAAGCACGCAGCGCUGAGCUUGGUCCAAAGGAAGUGUUCCGUGAGAGCCGCCCGGCUGCGCUGAAGAGCUGGACGAGGGGCUGUCGGGCGGCUGCGCACCGAGGACCUCCUCCUUUCUUGAACCACAGCUGUACCCUGAAGUAUUCGAGCCAGUCCAUCGCUUGUGUGGUGGCACUGUUGGGGGUUAGGAAAGGCAGCUCCAGUGGCUUGGGCUGGAGGCCGUGUGACUCACUACUGGUGAGUCCUCUAAGGACAAAUAGCCUUUGAGGAGGAACCCCAGGCUCCUGCCUGUUCCCAGAUACCACAAGCCAUCCCCGUACUGAAGAAAUGUGCCCAUUUUCCAGACGCCCUACAGAGACAGCAGGCCGCCGGGCAUGUUGCGUUUCCGUUUCCUUCUGCCCCCUCACGCGGGCACUCACGCGGGCACUCACGUUCACGCAGCUGCGGCCAGAGCAUGUCCUGCAUGCGUGUGGAGUCUUGUGUUCUGAUUUUUACAAAAUCGACCCGCAAACCCCUUCAAUGAAAACCCAUUCAUUCCUUGAGCUGUUUGUGGGUGUGGCCAACAUGCUGGGAACAAUGGGGCAGUGGCCAGGAGGAGCCAAGAGUCGACUCAGGCUUUCCCACAGGGACCCCUGGCCUCAAAGUGCACUCCACCUCUGGAGCUGGCAUCGCCAGGUCAGGGGUCCCAGGUGAGGUCUGCGUGUGGGCUCAGCGUGCAGGACUGAAGAGCCCCAGCCUGCUGUGUCCCCAUGGGCGAGCCGCCUCCUCUCCUGGUGCCUCCCUUCUGUAGGACAGUCUCGGAAGAGCUGAGUGAGCAGUGUGCGCGUCGUGCUCGGAACAGGGCCUGGCACAGCUGGAGCUUGGGAACGUGGCCAGGUGGGAGACAUUUCCACUUCUACCUGCUUUAACCCAGGGAAGACUGUCGGUCCCUUCGUUGUGUGGUCCAUAAGAGAAGGUGCAGAGCCUCCAGAGAAUUGCCUACAAGUCGGCAGGUCUGGGCUGGGUGUCUGAUGGCUUUCCUAGAUUUGGACACUUCCCGUCCUGGGGCUGGAGAUAUCCGUCCUAGGACCUUGGGAGUCCACAGCCCAGGAAGGUCUCAAAACAAAAGGUAGGUAGAAUUGCCACCUUGUUCUUUAACCAAGCAGACUUUAUUUAUUUAUUCACUUUUAAUGAAGGCAUUUAUGGUCAGGGUGGUGUGUGUCUAUAGUCCCAGGUACUCAGGAGACCAAGGUAGGAGGAUUGUCUGAGCCCAGGAGUUCAAAGCCAGCCUGGGCUAUAGCGAGACCCUAUGUCUGAAAAAUUAGUAAUAACCAAAAUUUAAAAAGCAUUUAUGAACUAUUAUUCCAUAAAAGAAAGGAGUUUAGUGUUAGGCAAGUAGGUAGAACGCCAUCUCAGAGUGAGGGACCGUCUUGUCUAGAGAUAGCACAGGUGACCAAGCCACAUACUGUGCUUUAAUGGCAGGUCAGAACUCGGUCUUCCCCGCAGAACCGCCCGGCAGCCCUCCCCUCGCAGCUGAUCUGGAGGCACAACCUGGGGCUCAUCCUUAGCUUCCUCUUUCUGCUGCCGCCGAGCGCCACCAGGCCUGAGCUCCCUCCCCACUCUCCCCGAGCACCCUGGUUUGAACGGCCACCACCUUCACCCGGGUGCUGAAGUGGCCUCUUCCGAGCCGCCCCUGCCUGGCGCCGCUCCUCCUCAGCCUGGCCUGCACCAUUGCGCCUUCAGUGCAGACGGGAAGCCAGGGCUGUCUUUGUUCCAAGUGACCCUCCAGCCCCCUCCCGAUAAAGAGCAGAGCGCUGACCCUCGAGGCUGAGCAGCACCAUGACCACCUCCCUACCUGCCUCCUUGUUUUUCUUCAGACACCUCAGGGACCCCCUGUCCCCCCAAAUCCAUCCUUCCCCAGAGCAAGCACUGCAGGGCUCUGAAGGCCACGGAAGCUCACGCGAGGCCCGUCCUCCACGUUCUCGGCCACGUUCGAGAUCCAGCCAAGGUCCCCUUCUUCAUCCUCCUUCACUGCUGACGUGGAUGAGUGUGAGCAGGAGGGUCCCCGAAGCCCGUGCAGGACCCCCAUCUCCCCAGCUGCUCACGUCCUGUCUGCGCCGCCAGCUCCCUCGCAGACCAGCUUUUAGGCAGAGUGGAAGCAUCGAGCGCCGGGCAACUGGUCUCCGGGUCAGUGGUGCGAUUCCAAGUGUGGGAGAAAGUGAGCUCACUGAUCUGUCUCGGAGGGCCAGUGGCAGCCUGGUCCCGUCAGUUCUGGAAAGUCCCCUCCCUGGGUUGGCCCUGUCAUUGUCAUGGUCCCGGUGAAAAUGAUAAAACAGCACAAAUAGUGAAGACAGUGAAAAACAAAGCCAGAAGAGAGCUGACGGGACGUUAGACCUGUCGCUCAUCGGUCGAGUGCUGGCCUGGCAUGCACACGCCCGGGCUCCGUCCCCCGCACAACGAAGGCGGAGAGGAGCAGGCCGAGUGUGGAGCUAAUUCUACCAAGCAGAGAAAUCGUCCUGGAAGAACACCCCUCAAAAGGGCGUGGGAAGCGGGGUCCUCUUCUUGAUUUUGAAGGUAGAGGGACACGCUAACCAUCAACGUGAAUCAGAUCUUGGAUUGAGAAAAUUAAAAAGUAGCUUUUUAGGAAAUUUUUCUGGAGAUUGAGAGUUUGCAUGUGGAUUUGUGUAACUGAGAUCAGCAUUUCAUUUGCUGGGUGUGAUUGUGCCGGAUGGUUGGGUGAGAGAGUGAGUCCUCGCAAGGCCUCCUUGGCCAGUCCAGGCUGAAAUGUUUAGGAGUCAAGCGUCCGAUACAAACGCUUUGGAAUGACUCAGAAAAUAAAAGUGUGUUCACUUUCCUGUUCUUUAAA